rnacentral:lncRNA from 1 species
GAGUAGCACCUAUUUAUAGUCAAACGUUGGUGAGGUUCACAGGGCCAAAAAGCUUUUGCACAAACGAAGGUGGAAGAGAAAAGGGGAAAGAGCUUACAAGAUGGUUGUGCCACCAGCCUCGUUGUUCCUGCCAUUCCAUCUUCUUCUUCCUUCAAAUAUUCUUCAUCUUCUUCUUCUUCCGUAACUUUGGAAGAAUGCCGCCCUCUGGAUUGAUACAUCAGUCAAGGCAGCCAUCAUUGACAUUUGUUACCAUCUAGGACCAUUUAUGACUCAACUAUUUUCUCUAUGAACCACUUUUAGCAGG